GCAGCCUGAUCCAGCCAUGCCGCGUGAGUGAUGAAGGCCUUAGGGUCGUAAAGCUCUUUCGCCAGGGAUGAUAAUGACAGUACCUGGUAAAGAAACCCCGGCUAACUCCGUGCCAGCAGCCGCGGUAAUACGGAGGGGGUUAGCGUUGUUCGGAAUUACUGGGCGUAAAGCGUACGUAGGCGGGUUGUUAAGUUAGAGGUGAAAUCCCGGGGCUCAACCCCGGAACUGCCUUUAAUACUGGCAACCUAGAGUUCGAGAGAGGUGAGUGGAAUUCCGAGUGUAGAGGUGAAAUUCGUAGAUAUUCGGAGGAACACCAGUGGCGAAGGCGGCUCACUGGCUCGAUACUGACGCUGAGGUACGAAAGUGUGGGGAGCAAACAGGAUUAGAUACCCUGGUAGUCCACACCGUAAACGAUGAAUGCCAGUCGUCGGGUAGCAUGCUAUUCGGUGACACACCUAACGGAUUAAGCAUUCCGCCUGGGGAGUACGGUCGCAAGAUUAAAACUCA
rnacentral:rRNA from 1 species